rnacentral:rRNA from 1 species
AUCUAGGCUCUUGCAUCGAUGAAGAACGUAGCGAAAUGCGAUACUUGGUGUGAAUUGCAGAAUCCCGUGAACCAUCGAGUUUUUGAACGCAAGUUGCGCCCGAUGCCAUUAGGUUGAGGGCACGUCUGCCUGGGUGUCACAUACCGAAGCCUCCUGCCAAUUAC